rnacentral:tRNA from 1 species
GCGCUCUUCAUCUAAUAGGCUAGGAUGUUGCUCUUUCACGGCAAAUAUAUGGGUUCAAGUCCCAUAGGGCGUA